rnacentral:rRNA from 1 species
AUUGAACGCUGGCGGCAGGCCUAACACAUGCAAGUCGAGCGGAUGAAGGGAGCUUGCUCCUGUAUUCAGCGGCGGACGGGUGAGUAAUGCCUAGGAAUCUGCCUGGUAGUUGGUGAUAACGUCCGUAAACGGGCGCUAAUACCGCAUACGUCCUGAGGGUGAAAGUGGGGGAUCUUCGGACCUCACGCUAUUAGAUGAGCCUAGGUCGGAUUAGCUAGUUGGUGUGGUAAAGGCCUACCAAGGCGACGAUCCGUAACUGGUCUGAGAGGAUGAUCAGUCACAAUGGAACUGAGACACGGUCCAGACUCCUACGGGAGGCAGCAGUGGGGAAUAUUAGAAAAUGGGCGAAAGCCUGAUCCAGCCAUGCCGCGUGAGUGAAGAAGGUCUUCGGAUUGUAAAGCACUUUUAGUUGGGAGGAAGGACAGUAAGUUAAUACCUUGCUGUUUUGACGUUACCAACAGAAUAAGCACCGGCUAACUUCGUG